GAUAUAUGACGUGUUUCGACCAAGUGCCAUAUCAGUAGUACACGCGAAAUUAAAAAAUAAAAUAAAACAACUCAUAGAAUCCACGUAAGCUCAUCUUCAAUCUUUCAAAAUAAAAUUUUGAAAUCGUGCAUCUUCUUCCACAGCCGCGCGACUCCUCCUCCGCCGCUUCCUCCCUCCACCGUCGAUUUUCCUCCCACCCCAGCCAUCUCCUCAGGCGAUUCUUCUUGGGCGUCGUCGCCCUCUGCUCACCCAUCUUGUUCGCCGCCCUCUGUCCACCCACAACCAUCUCCUCCGACGCCGGUUUACAAUCUGAUUAAUGAUUGGAGAAAAGAAGCAGCAAUGACAUUGACAUGUGGGGUAGAGUGAAUUGUAGCGCAAAUGGUGGCGGCAUUACAGCAAACUUCACUCUAAAGAAAUCUGCCAUAAUCUACGCAUUGCAUCUUCGUUUUUGUGGAUAUUUUAUUAAUUUAACAUGUUAUUUUGUGUUGUUUGAUAUUCGAGCAUUCACGGUGGGAAUGACCUAAUAAUUGACAAAGGGAAUUAUAUUGGGUUAAA